rnacentral:snRNA from 1 species
CGGCGGAACUCUAACCCCCAGAA